rnacentral:rRNA from 1 species
UAGUCCACGCCGUAAACGAUGAUCACUCGACAUUGGCGAUAUACUGUCAGUGUCCAAGCGAAAGUGUUAAGUGAUCCACCUGGGGAGUACGAUCGCAAGAUUGAAACUCAAAGGAAUUGACGGGGGCCCGCACAAGCGGUGGAGCAUGUGGUUUAAUUCGAUGAUACGCGAGGAACCUUACCAGGGCUUAAAUGCAAAACGACAGGCUGGGAAACCAGCCCUUCUUCGGACGGAUUGCAAGGUGCUGCAUGGUUGUCGUCAGCUCGUGCCGUGAGGUGUCGGGUUAAGUCCCAUAACGAGCGCAACCCCUAUCUUUAGUUGCCAGCGGAUAAUGCCGGGGACUCUAAAGAAACUGCCCGCGUAAGCGGUGAGGAAGGUGGGGAUGACGUCAAAUCAUCACGGCCCUUACGUCCUGGGCCACACACGUGCUACAAUGGCAGAUACAAAGGGCAGCUACCUGGUGACAGGAUGCUAAUCUCGAAAGUCUGUCUCAGUUCGGAUU